AUACAUAGUCAAACGAAGCGAACCGGGGGAACUGAAACAUCUCAGUACCCCGAGGAAAAGAAAUCAACCGAGAUUCCCCUAGUAGCGGCGAGCGAACGGGGAGCAGCCCAGAGUCUUAAUCAGCAUUAGUAUCAGGAGAACGGUCUGGAAAGUCCGGCAGUAAAGGGUGAUAGCCCCGUAUCUGAAGAUAUUAGUGUUGUGAACUCGACGAGUAGGGCGGGACACGUGUUAUCCUGUCUGAAUAUGGGGGGACCAUCCUCCAAGGCUAAAUACUCCUGAUUGACCGAUAGUGAACCAGUACCGUGAGGGAAAGGCGAAAAGAACCCCGGCGAGGGGAGUGAAAUAGAACCUGAAACCGUGUACGUACAAGCAGUGGGAGCCUUGAUUUAUCAGGGUGACUGCGUACCUUUUGUAUAAUGGGUCAGCGACUUAUAUUCUGUAGCAAGGUUAACCGUAUAGGGGAGCCGUAGGGAAACCGAGUCUUAACUGGGCGAAUGAGUUGCAGGGUAUAGACCCGAAACCCGGUGAUCUAGCCAUGGGCAGGUUGAAGGUUGGGUAACACUAACUGGAGGACCGAACCGACUAAUGUUGAAAAAUUAGCGGAUGACUUGUGGCUGGGGGUGAAAGGCCAAUCAAACCGGGAGAUAGCUGGUUCUCCCCGAAAGCUAUUUAGGUAGCGCCUCGUGAACUCAUCUUCGGGGGUAGAGCACUGUUUCGACUAGGGGGUCAUCCCGACUUACCAACUCGAUGCAAACUACGAAUACCGAAGAAUGUUAUCACGGGAGACACACGGCGGGUGCUAACGUUCGUCGUGAAGAGGGAAACAACCCAGACCGCCAGCUAAGGUCCCAAAGUCAUAGUUAAGUGGGAAACGAAGUGGGAAGGCUCAGACAGCCAGGAUGUUGGCUUAGAAGCAGCCAUCAUUUAAAGAAAGCGUAAUAGCUCACUGGUCGAGUCGGCCUGCGCGGAAGAUGUAACGGGGCUAAACUAUGCACCGAAGCUGCGGCAGCGAUAUGUAAAUAUUGUUGGGUAGGGGAGCGUUCUGUAAGCCUGUGAAGGUGUACUGUGAGGUAUGCUGGAGGUAUCAGAAGUGCGAAUGCUGACAUAAGUAACGAUAAUGCGGGUGAAAAACCCGCACGCCGGAAGACCAAGGGUUCCUGUCCAACGUUAAUCGGGGCAGGGUGAGUCGACCCCUAAGGCGAGGCAGAAAUGCGUAGUCGAUGGGAAACGGGUUAAUAUUCCCGUACUGGUGAUAAUUGCGAUGGGGGGACGGAGAAGGCUAGGCUGGCCGGGCGACGGUUGUCCCGGUUUAAGGAUGUAGGCAGGUGAAUUAGGCAAAUCCGGUUCACUAUAUGCUGAGGUCUGAUGACGAGUCACU
rnacentral:rRNA from 1 species